UACGGGGGGGGCAAGCGUUGUUCGGAAUUACUGGGCGUAAAGGGUGCGUAGGCGGCUUUCUAAGUUGGAUGUGAAAACUAUGGGCUCAACCCAUAGCCUGCAUCCAAAACUGGAGGGCUUGGGUACUGGAGGGGAAAGCGGAAUUCCUGGUGUAGCGGUGAAAUGCGUAGAUAUCAGGAGGAACACCGGUGGCGAAGGCGGCAUCCUGGACCAUUACUGACGCUGAGGCGCGAAAGCUAGGGGAGCAAACGGG
rnacentral:rRNA from 1 species